UAACCUGGUUNGAUCCUGCCAGUAGCAUAUGCUUAUCUUUGAGAUUAAGCCAUGCAUGUCUAAGUAUAAGUUAUAUACGGCGAAACUGCGAAUGGCUCAUUAAAACAGUUAUAGUAUAUUUGAUGAUGUUUUUAUAUGGAUAACCGUUUGGGAAACCAGAGCUAAUACAUGCUUAAAGGCCUUACGGCUGUAUUUAUUAGCUAUAAACCAUUACCUUCGGGUUUUGUGAGGAAUCAUAAUAACUGAUCGAAGCGCACUGGUGUGUGCUAAAUCUUUCUAGUUUCUGCUCUAUCAUGUUUUGAUGGUAGUGUAUUGGACUACCAUGACUAUCACGGGUAACGGAGAAUUAGGGUUCGAUUCCGGAGAGGGAGCCUGAGAAACGGCUACCACAUCCACGGUAGGCAGCAGGCGCGUAAAUUACCCAAUCCUGAUUCAGGGAGGUAGUUACGAGAAAUAUCAACUCAGUUUAUCUGAGAUUUAACUGGACUGAAUAUAAACCAUUCUAUGAAUACGAUUGGAGGGCAAGUCUGGUGCCAGCAGCCGCGGUAACUCCAGCUCCAAUAGUGUAUCUUAACGUUGUUGCAGUUAAAAAGCUCGUAGUUGAAUUUCUGGCUAGCUGACCAACUUAGGUUGGGACGGGCUAGUCAUCCGCGUUGGAAAUCAGCCAGAUGUUUAGUCAUCAGUUGAUGAAAGACGCAUUUUACUUUGAAGAAAUUAGAGUGUUCCAAGCAAGCAUUGUUGAAUAUUACAGCAUGGAAUAAUGGAAUAGGACAUAGUCAUUUUAUUGGUUCUUGACUUUGUAAUGAUUAACAGGGACAGUUGGGGGCAUUCGUAUUCAGUUGUCAGAGGUGAAAUUCGUAGAUUAACUGAAGACGAACUAAUGCGAAAGCAUUUGCCAAGGAUGUUUUCAUUAAUCAAGAACGAAAGUUAGGGGAUCGAAGACGAUUAGAUACCGUCGUAGUCCUAACUAUAAACUAUACCGACUAGGGAUUGGCAGGGGUUUGUCCCCUGUCAGCACCUAAUGAGAAAUCAAAGUCUUUAGGUUCUGGGGGGAGUAUGUUCGCAAGAAUGAAACUUAAAGGAAUUGACGGAAGGGCACCACCAGGAGUGGAGCCUGCGGCUCAAUUUGACUCAACGCGGGGAAACUUACCAGGGCAAGACCUGAGAAUGAUUGACAUUUUGAUAGCUUUUUCUUGAUUACAGGGAUGGUGGUGCAUGGCCGUUCUUAGUUGGUGAAGUGAUUUGUCCGGUUAAUUCCUUUAACAAACGAGACCUUAACCUGCUAAACUAGUCGUUCUUAUUUUAGGGAUUGACUUCUUAGAGGGACUAUGGUUUAAAAUCCAUGGAAGUUUGAGGCAAUAACAGGUCCGUGAUGCCCUUAGACGUUCUGGGCCGCACGUGUGCUACACUGACUCACGCAACGAGUUCUUUAUCUAACCCGAAAGGGGACGGAAAAUCUUGUUAAUAUGAGUCGUGCUAGGGAUUGAUCUUUGCAAUUUUGGAUCAUGAACGAGGAAUUCCUAGUAGGCAUAAGUCAUCAUCUUGUGCCGAUUACGUCCCUGCCCUUUGUACACACCGCCCGUCGCUCCUACCGAUUGAGUGAUCCGGUGAACUUUCUGGACAUUUGGCUUCCGCCGUAAUGGAAGUUAAGCAAAUCUUAUCACUUAGAGGAAGGAAAAGUCGUAACAAGGUUUCCGUAGGUGAACCUGCGGAAGGAUCAUUAACGCCAAAUUAUACUUCUGUCUCAGAUUCGUCUGUAGACUUUAAACACAAGAAACACUAAAUUUUAAACGGUGGAUAUCUUGGUUCCCAUAACGAGGAAGAACGCAGCAAACUGCGAUAAGUAAUGCGAAUUGCAGGAUCCGUGAGUCAUCAAAUUUUCGAACGCAGCUGGCACCACAGGGUAUCUCCAUGUGGUAGGUUUGUUUCAGUGUAUUUGAUUAUCCCAAAACUAAAUGUGAUUGAACCUCGGUUCUCUCAUUAAACCUGAGUGUCAGGUGUUCUGAUCUAGUGAAGUGGUCACUGUCUUCGGACUGGUGGUUUCAUUAGCUCUCUGGACGCUGCAGCACAGAACUGUUAGUCUUUAAAAAUACUUUCACCUGAAAUCAAGCCAGACAACCCGCUGAACUUAAGCAUAUCAGUAAGCGGAGGAAAAGAAAACUAACACUGGNNNNNNUGGUUGAUCCUGCCGGU
rnacentral:rRNA from 1 species